rnacentral:rRNA from 1 species
UACGUAGGCAGCAAGCGUUGUUCGGAAUUACUGGGCGUAAAGAGUGUGUAGGCGGUGCUCUAAGUUUGGUGUGAAAAUCUCCCGGCUCAACCGGGAGGCUGCAUCGAAUACUGGAAUGCUAGAGGGUGGGAGAGGUAAGCGGAAUUCCUGGUGUAGCGGUGAAAUGCGUAGAUAUCAGGAGGAACACCUGUGGUGUAGACA